rnacentral:rRNA from 1 species
AAUGAACGCUGGCGGCAGGCCUAACACAUGCAAGUCGAACGGAUCCUUCGGGAUUAGUGGCGGACGGGUGAGUAACGCGUGGGAACAUACCCUUUGGUACGGAAUAGCCUCGGGAAACUGGGAGUAAUACCGUAUGUGGUCGAGAGACGAAAGAUUUAUCGCCAAAGGAUUGGCCCGCGUUGGAUUAGGUAGUUGGUGGGGUAAUGGCCUACCAAGACGACGGUCCAUAGCUGGUUUGAGAGGAUGAUCAGCCACACUGGGACUGAGACACGGCCCAGACUCCUACGGGAGGCAGCAGUGGGGAAUCUUAGACAAUGGGGGAAACCCUGAUCUAGCCAUGCCGCGUGAUCGAUGAAGGCCUUAGGGUUGUAAAGAUCUUUCAGGUGGGAAGAUAAUGACUGUACCGCCAGAAGAAGCCCCGGCUAACUCCGUGCCAGCCGCCGCAGUAACAC